GUGAAUAAUAUGUCCUCCGGCGAAUACUCUCCUCAAUCGUUGAGCUUCCUCCCUUCUCAGCACCAUACAUGCGUUUCUGUGCAGUGUCCAAGAAAUUUCGGCUCGAGGGCACAGCAUUUUGUUUGGCUUCCAGUGCAUCAUCCUCAGCUGCCUUCUUCAAUCGCUUCCAUCGUUGCUCUUCAUGUAACUCGGCAUCCUGCUGCAUUUCACGCAGUCUAGCUGCACGCUCUUCUUCUGAAAGCUUUGUAGCAGGCCUACGAUGCUUGUGGCGUGACUCGCGAGGAGUUUCAGAAGCAUUGGAUUCAUAAGACCUCGAUUCCCCCACUCUUCUGCUGUCCUUUUCAUUGUUAGAAUAAG
rnacentral:misc_RNA from 1 species